rnacentral:lncRNA from 1 species
AUGGGAUCCAGAACACAUGCUUAUGUCUGAUUUGGCAGCUACUCAUGUCCUUCAAUUCACUACUGCCUUUAAGCAUCUGAAGGUUCUUUCACUAUGGGAAUUUUAAGAAAGAAGAAAAAGUACUUGUCUAAAGGAUUUCAAAGUAAGUAGUGCAUCUCAAACUGAGAAUUCUGCUAAUGGAGCUGUGGGGAGACUGAAAUACAACAAGGAAUAUCAGCUUUCUGUGAUUUUAUUUUCUCUGCAAAUUUCAAGCCAUACAUCCUCUUGCAGAUGUCAAACAAUGACUUCAUGACAGAAUGCCACUAGUUAUGACAGAAAUUUAGUGAGAAAUGAAGACACCGAUGCUUGGUAACAGUAGCGUUAAUCUGGAAUUAAGGUACUAAUAAUAUUCAGUGAAUCUGGAAU